CUGGCACAGGUGCUCUGGGCAGCCCCCCCUCAGAGGGCUUUCCAGAACCACUGCCCAAUUGUCGCAGGAGGGGCCGGGACCUCUGUGAUGUAAGAGUGGCGAAGGAACCGCACCCAGAUUCCGGAGCCUUCUGGCCCCACCCGAGUUCCCAGAGACACAGGCCGGGCACCAGCGAGCUGUGAGGAGAACGCAGGGUCCCAGGGGCCCAUCUCCUCCGCCUGACCUGCCCAGACACACCUGGGUGGCGCUGGGCUCUGAGGAGACAACAGGAAGGCUUUGUUCCUGGCCUGGCUGAGACUGUCUCUCCCGGCCACUCCAGGAAGAGACCUGCCCUUUCAGGGGCUCAGUUUAUGGUGGAGGGAGGGGGACAGACAAUCAGCGCUCACCCUCAGCGAGACAAGCAGGAGUCAACAAGGCCGCGAGACCCCCACCAUGUCCCAGAGACCUGUGCCACCGGGCUUUUAUUUAUGAAGUGACAGCUGGAGGCCAUCGCUUACCGGGCUGGUGGGAUCAGGGGUGCAGCACUCACGGGCCUCACUUUUGUCACAGGCCCCUCAGAGCAGGAGCCUGGGCCCCUGGGGAUGCCUUCCAUCAACGCCUCCCAGGACUUAGGGCUCCUGGGCCAGACUCUCCACAGAAGCAGAUAGUUUUUGUCAGGGUCCAAACACCGAUGCAGAUCCACCCCAGACGGUCAGCUACCCCCGGUCACCGAAGUUUCACCGUCCCCUACGGGAAGGGAAGGCCCUUCUCUUACCUUUGCUAGAGUGUCCACGACGCUCACCAGUGGCUGCUUCGCAGGAUAUUUGGCCAUGUCCCACUCAAAGUGGGUCACGAAGGAUGUUAAGUCAACUGGAAGAAACACAUUUCAACAAAUGAGCGGGGCUCUCCCCAUCUGGUUGAGACCGAGGUUGCCACACCCCGGGCCAAGCGUCCCCCCUUGAACCGAGAGGAGCUGGAGGGCAGGCUGGGGGCUCUGGGGAAACACUGUCCCCGGGGGAGCAGGGCACCGAGGCAGCGGGCUGGCCUCCGGCAAGGACCCUCAGCGGCACCCACAGCCCCUCUGGAAAGCCCGCCACCAGCCCCGGGGCCGCUGGACCCGGUGCACUCCUGUACCCCAAACUCUCUCGCAGAGAUCUGCAGCGGGGAGAUCCCGCUUUCCCAAGAGGAGAGCUUCUGAGGGCCGGGCUGAUUCCCCGUCUUUUCCUGCUGUGUAGGACACACACCCCUGCUGGGUGGUUGUUCUGUUUUGAAGUACCUCCAAGAUAAGACUCGCCAGAGAGCCUCCAGCCAGCCCUCCAAGACCACAGAGCCAGUUAGGGUGCCGCCUGCCCUCAGGGCGAGCUGCCUUCUCGCCUCCCUCGUCCAAGCCCUGGACGGAGUGGAUUUCCACACACGUGGUCUGUUUUAAAGAAGGCAUGUCGAACCCUGGAAAAAUACUCGAAGCUGCGACUGCCGUUUUUACCCCCCGGGGUGGGGGUGCCCUGGUCACCGUAUGUCCUUUAUAUAAAAGUCUAUAUACAGGGAGUAGACGAAGCCGGUGUUUUCCCACCACGUGUCCCUUCUCCCCUUACUUUCUCCAGAAACAGACCUGAACCUGCCGCCCUCGGGAGGUUUCUGGUUCCCUAAUCAGCCGCGGGCGGAGGAGCUCUGGAGUCUGAGGUCAGACAAGCCACACUUGAGUGGCCCUGGGCGGAUCCCGAGACCCGGGGCCUCGAGCACAUUAGCAUCUAAGUCCCUUUGCACCUCAGUCUCCCGACCUGAGAAAUGGGGCAGGGAAAGGAGGCCACACGGCCCUCCGAGCGCCUCCUCCUCAGAUCAGCUCCACGCACACUUAGGGAGUGCUCCCGGGGGCCAGCUGCUGGAGACACCCAGCCUGUUCUCCCGCCAGUAAGUCAGGUCAGCCUAUGCAAUGCUGACACAGCCCCCCAGGAUCCCGUGAGCCUGUGCAAGACCAGCCUUCCUAUGCUAGAUUCUCACCCCGGGAUAUGUGCGCGUCUGCCCUUCCCAGUACGUCCUUGGGCGGAUAAAAGGGACACUUUUGCUCACUCGAAGGUCAGUCACUUACGCUGAACGUCAGCGCGCUACCCUGAGGGGAGGGACAGACCACACCCCCUAAUUUCAAGGUGCUCAGUUUCUUAGAGAGACAGCCAGGCAAACGUCAAACCACAGUGAGCGGUAACAGAGUGUAUCAGGGCGCUAAGGGUGGGAGAGACGGUGUCUGGCUCCCAGGGAGGGCACGGAGGGCGGCCACGGGAGCUGGAGGUGACCCGAGUUUGCCAUGUGGCCAGCGGGGGAGGGCGCUGGGUGUUCGCGGAGGGCGCCUGGGGGACAUCCUGUGUGGGGCAUGGGAAUCUCUGGGACAACCCAGUGGAGCAGGAGGGCCAGGGCAGGGUCAUGGAAGGCGGCAUCUGCACUUUCUCCCUGUGGCGAGCAAGACACCGGGGCGCAGCUCCGGAGCCCCCCAUGAUGUGCCAGAGAUCGGCCCCACAGCGACUCCAACAGCGGGGCUGAAAAGGUCAUCGAGCGGGCCGGGACACCAAGCAUCCAGCGGCUACGCAGCCAGUCAAGGGCACGCACACGCUGAGGUUUCUGGGGGCCUUGCGGGAGAGAGGUGCAGGCGUGGGAGACAAGAAGGCGCAGCUAAGAGGGGCCACAGCUCUGGGCGCAGAAAAGGGAGGGCCGGCCCAGCAGGGUGCGGACACCCUGGCCAAGGAGGCCAGGUGGAGGGAGGGGACAUGCAUUAAGCCGGGCAGCAUGGGGCAGAGGGGAGAGGAGAUGGGCUCAACCAGGGGCAAGUUCGAGGCUGAUAAUGACCGCAGACGACUCCCCAGGAGGCACGUGGAAAUGAAACGGGGCUCGGAGGAGCGACCCAGCCCUGCCGGCAGAGGCAUGAGCGCACAGGAAGUUGAAAGCGCCUUAUAUAAGGACGCCAUCGCCGCCCAUCACAGCCGUGAGGGCGGGGGACGCUGACUGCCCACCUUGGCCAGGACACAGGAAUUACUUCAUUCAACCGAGCUUUCAACCCUAUUAAGUACUGUUAUCUUCCCCACCUUAGAGGUGAGGGGAUCGGCACAGGGUAGUUACCUAACUAACACCCACUACGAGAUGAGACGGUGACCACGGAGCACGUGAAGGACCACGGUCCCCCGCGGCCCGCCCACGGUCAGGUCACAGCUCCCCUGUGGGGGAGCAGGGGGCUCGUGGCCCAUCUGCGCAAGAACCACAUGCUGAUGCGUCUGGGCCACUCGCACCUAGAAGAUGGCCUUCAGAUUCCCACGGUGCCGGAAUAGACAAGAGGCACCAAGGUGGGGCCCUGAUCCGAUAGGACAAGCGUCCUUAUAAGGAGAGACACCAGAGAUCGAUCUCUCUCUCUCUCCCUCCCCAUGGGCUCACACCAAGGAGGCAGCAAAGGAACCAACCUCCCGGCGCCUUGACCUUGGACUUCCAGCUUCCAGAACUGCGGGAGAUAAAUGGCUGCUGUCCACCUCCAGCACCCUGCGGGCACACCCCUGCCCAAGCCGAGCCACCUCCAGCCCCUCGCUCUCUCUCCCGCUGCUCUCGCCCUUCAACAUCGGGACAGGGGCCGGCUCCUGCAAGCCCGCCGACCACGCCUCCUCCUCCUGGCCUCGGCACGCACCUGUUCCAUGACGCUCGUGAUGCUGCAUGACCCCCCCCCCCCCCCGCCGUUCUCUUUCGGGCUCCUUGAGGGGCAGAUGACAGUCUCCGUGUCUCCAGAGCCUGUCUCAGCGCCCAGCACAGAGCGAGGGUUCCAUAUGCGAGUCUCCCUCCUAACUCUCGGCGACUGUACUAACUCGAGCUAGCUGGGUGGCCCGGGAGAGAUACAUUUGGACCACGCCCAUCUCCACGCACGGUCACAAAUUCUAAGGCCUUCAUGGCACAGCAGAGAGAACGAGGUGCCUCUUUCCUCUAGAAGAGCUCCUCCCAUUCCUGCAAGACUCUGACCAUCUCCUUGAGUGGCUCCUGAGCGUUCGGCCUCCGUCCCGUUCCCAUCACAGCGCGGGUGGAACUGCGGGGCUGUCCCCUUGGCCCCGAGCCCUCGGAGAGCAGUCACCUCCACGUGCCCAGCAGCCAGCACGGCGCCUGGGACUUGCCAGCCAUGUGGGAGUGGCCGCGAAUGAAGAGGCUGCAGAUAAGGGGACUGUGCAGACCUCCCUGCAGAGGCCUCUGGAGACCUCUGGGAUGUGACUGUGACCUCCCCUCCUCGGACACCUCCCUUCCCAAGUCCGGAGCACCCGCUCCAGACGCUGCCCCCUGCCCUGGGUCACGCAUCCAAGGACAGCAUUGCCCUGUCCGCGCCCAUCACCUCUGGUGACAACAUGGCCUGAGGCCGGUCCUCCGUCUCAGAAAGCCACGGCCCCCUUGGGUCUGCCGGUCCUUCCAAUACGGCAGCCUUCUGCCUGCCCAGGGAAGAACCGCCUCCCCUCCCCUGGCUGAGGUCAGAGAGGCCUGGCCUCCAAGGGAGCAACUCGGGGCUGGGGCUGUUGGCCAAGGUCGAGGUCAGACCGUCAACAGCAGCUCGUGAGCAACCGUGAUGUCAUCUCAGAACCCAAACAAGGCCUUCCCGGCAGGCAGAACGAGGGACCUGUGACCACAGGGGCUGCCGGUCAGCCAGCCAGAUCUCCAGCCUCAAAGCUCGGUUGGGGGCGGAGAACAAGCAGAAACACGAGAUGCCGCGGCCAGGCUAGGAGCCCGUGAGGGGAUGAAGUCCACUGACAGGUCAUGAUCUCGAGGUCCGUGAGUUCGAGCCCCGCGUCGGGCUCUGUGCUGA